rnacentral:rRNA from 1 species
GAUGAACGCUGGCGGCGUGCCUAAUACAUGCAAGUCGAACGCUGGAAAUCUAGCUUGCUAGAUUGAAGGAGUGGCGAACGGGUGAGUAAAACAUAAGCAACCUACCCACGAAGACUGGGAUAAUCUCUGGAAACGGGGACUAAUACCGGAUAGGUAAUCGGAAGGCAUCUUCUGAUUAUUAAAGGUUAAAAACACUGGUGGAUGGGCUUAUGGCGCAUUAGUUAGUUGGUGAGGUAACGGCCCACCAAGACGAUGAUGCGUAGCCGGCCUGAGAGGGUGAACGGCCACAUUGGGACUGAGACACGGCCCAGACUCCUACGGGAGGCAGCAGUAGGGAAUUUUCGGCAAUGGGGGAAACCCUGACCGAGCAACGCCGCGUGAGUGAUGACGGCCUUCGGGUUGUAAAGCUCUGUUGUAAGGGAAGAACGGUAGAUAGAGAAUAUCUAAAUGACGGUACCUUACCAGAAAGCCACGGCUAACUACGUG